AGUUGCGAACGGGUGAGUAACGCGUAGGUAACCUGCCUCAUAGCGGGGGAUAACUAUUGGAAACGAUAGCUAAUACCGCAUAAGAGUGAUUAACACAUGUUAGUUAUUUAAAAGGAGCAAUUGCUUCACUGUGAGAUGGACCUGCGUUGUAUUAGCUAGUUGGUGAGGUAAAGGCUCACCAAGGCGACGAUACAUAGCCGACCUGAGAGGGUGAUCGGCCACACUGGGACUGAGACACGGCCAGACUCCUACGGGAGGCAGCAGUAGGGAAUCUUCGGCAAUGGACGGAAGUCUGCCCGAGCAACGCCGCGUGAGUGAAGAAGGUUUUCGGAUCGUAAAGCUCUGUUGUUAGAGAAGAACGUUGGUAGGAGUGGACACAAUCUACCAAGUGACGGUAACUAACCAGAAAGGGACGGCUAACUACGUGCCAGCAGCCGCGGUAAUACGUAGGUCCCGAGCGUUGUCCGGAUUUAUUGGGCGUAAAGCGAGCGCAGGCGGUUCUUUAAGUCUGAAGUUAAAGGCAGUGGCUUAACCAUUGUACGCUUUGGAAACUGGAGGACUUGAGUGCAGAAGGGGAGAGUGGAAUUCCAUGUGUAGCGGUGAAAUGCGUAGAUAUAUGGAGGAACACCGGUGGCGAAACGGCUCUGCUGGUCUGUAACUGACGCUGAGGCUCGAAAGCGUGGGGAGCAAACAGGAUUAGAUACCCUGUAGUCCACGCCGUAAACGAUGAUGCUAGGUGGUUAGCCCUUUCCGGGGCUUAUGCCCACUGACG
rnacentral:rRNA from 1 species